CAAUAGUGUAUAUUAAAGUUGUUGCAGUUAAAAAGCUCGUAGUUGAAUUUUUGCUUGCCGCCGAUGUCGGAACUUCCGUACGUUCGGCGGCGUGCAUCCUUGGGUGGAACCUGUGUGGCAUUAGGUUGUCGUGCAGGGGAUGCUCAUCGUUUACUGUGAAAAAAUUAGAGUGUUCAAAGCAGGCUUAUGCCGUUGAAUAUAUUAGCAUGGAAUAAUAAGAUAGGACCUUGGUACUAUUUUGUUGGUUUGCGCACCGAGGUAAUGAUUAACAGGGACAGUUGGGGGUAUUCGUAUUCCAUUGUCAGAGGUGAAAUUCUUGGAUUUCUGGAAGACGAACUACUGCGAAAGCAUUUACCAAGGAUGUUUUCAUUAA
rnacentral:rRNA from 1 species